ensembl:snRNA Gm55126 U6 spliceosomal RNA
GUGUUUUCACUUUAGCAGCACACACAUUAAAACUUGGAACAAUCUACAGAAGAGUACCAUUGCCCCUGUGCAAAGAUGACAUAUAAAGUCAUGAAGCAUUAAAAAAAUGU